AGGUGGGCACUCCUGAGACUGCAGAGCAGAAGAGGCCACCAACACUGCCCACCCAUCCCCACAUCCCUGGCCCAAGAGGAAACUGUAUAUGGCCUCUGGGUUCCCUUGGAUAAGGGCACAGCAGCAGCAGGUCCCCUGCGUCUGAGACACGGCCGGAAGCUGAAGGGACCGACCAGAUAAAAAGUUCUCUGCACCCAAAUCCCAUGGGAGGGAGAGCUAAACCUUCAGAGAGGCAGACACGCCUGGGAAACCAGAAGAGACUGCACUCUGCCCAUUUUACUGAUUCCAGAGGAAAACACCAAAUGCCAUCUGGAACCCUGGUGCACGGAAGCUCACUGAAAGGGCAGUGUAGAUCUUCCUGGUUGCUGCCCCCACAGAGAGCUCAUAAGCAACACCCCAUGAGCAAACUUGAGCCUCGGGACCACAGGUAAGACAAACCUUCCUACUCCAAGCGACCUGCCUAGUGAACUCAGGACACAGGCCCACAGGAACAGCUGAAGACCUGUAGAUAGGAAAAACUACACGCCGAAAGCAGAACACUCUGUUCCCAUAACUGGCUGGAAAAAAAAAAAAACAACAACAGGAAAACAGGUCUACAGCAUCCCUGACACACAGGCUUAUAGGACAGUCUAGCCACUGUCAGAAAUAGAAGAACAAAGUAACACUGGAGAAAAUCUGAUGGCGAGAGGCAAGCACAGGAACCCAAGCAACAGAAACCAAGACCACAUGGCAUCAUCGGAGCCCAAUUUUCCCACCAAAGCAAACACGGUAUAUCCAAACACACCAGAAAAGCAAGAUCUAGUUUCAAAAUCAUAUUUGAUCAUGAUGCUGGAGGACUUCAAGAAAGACAUGAAGAACUCCCUUAGAGAAAAGCAGGAAAACAUAAAUUAACAAGUAGAAGACUACAGAGGGGAAUCACAAAAAUCCCUGAAAGAUUUCCAGGAAAACACAAUCAAACAGUUGAAGGAAUUAAAAAUGGAAAUAGAAACAAUCAAGAAAGAACACAUGGAAACAACCCUGGAUAUAGAAAACCAAAAGAAGAGACAAGGAGUCGUAGAUACAAGCUUCACCAACAGAAUACAAGAGAUAGAAGAGAGAAUCUCAGGAGCAGAAGAUUCCAUAGAAAUCAUUGACUCAACUGUCAAAGAUAAUGUAAAGCAGAAAAAGCUACUGGUCCAAAACAUACAGGAAAUCCAGGACUCAAUGAGAAGAUCAAACCUAAGGAUAAUAGGUAUAGAAGAGAGUGAAGACUCCCAGCUCAGAGGACCAGUAAAUAUCUUCAACAAAAUCAUAGAAGAAAACUUCCCUAACUUAAAGAAAGAGAUGCCCAAAAACAUACAAGAAGCCUACAGAACUCCAAAUAGAUUGAACCAGAAAAGAAACACCUCCCGUCACAUAAUAGUCAAAACAGCAAAUGCACAAAAUAAAGAAAGAAUAUUAAAAGCAGUUAGGGAAAAGGUCAAGUAACAUAUAAAGGCAGACCUAUCAGAAUCACCAGACUUCUCACCAGAGACUAUGAAAGCCAGAAGAUCCUGGACAGAUGUCACACAGACCCUAAGAGAACACAAAUGCCAGCCACUGUAUCCUGCAAAACUCUAAAUUAACAUAGAUGGAGAAACCAAGCUAUUCCAUGACAAAACCAAAUUUACACAAUAUCUUUCUACAAAUCCAGCAUUACAAAGGAUAAUAGAUGGUAAAGCCCAAGAUAAGGAGGCAAGCUAUACCCUAGAAGAAGCAAGAAACUAAUCAUCUUGGCAACAAAACAAAGAGAAGAAAAGCACACAAACAUAACCUCACAUCCAAAUAUGAAUAUAACAGGAAGGAAUAAUCACUAUUCCUUAAUAUCUCUCAACGUCAAUGGCCUCAACUCUCCAGUAAAAAGACAUAGAUUAACAAACUGGAUACGCAACAAGGACCCUGCAUUCUGCUGCCUACAGGAAACACACCUCAGAGACAAAGACAGACACUACCUCAGAGUGAAAGGCUGGAAAACAACUUUCCAAGCAAAUGGUCAGAAGAAGCAAGCUGGAGUAGCCAUUCUAAUAUCAAAUAAAAUCAAUUUUCAACUAAAAGAAAUAAAAAAAGAUAAGGAAGGACACUUCAUAUUCAUCAAAGAAAAAAUCCACCAAGAUGAACUCUCGAUCCUAAAUAUCUAUGUCCCAAAUACAACGGCACCUUUAUACAUAAAAGAAACCUUACUAAAGCUCAAAACACACAUUGCACCUCACACAAUAACAGUAGGAGACUUCAACACCCCACUCUCAUCAAUGGACAGAUCAUGGAAACAGAAAUUAAACAGAGACGUAGACAGACUAAGAGAAGUCAUGAACCAAAUGGGCUUAACAGAUAUUUAUAGAACAUUCUAUCUGAAAGCAAAAGAAUAUACCUUCUUCUCAGCUCCUCAUGGUACUUUCUCCAAAAUUGAACAUAUAAUUGGUCAAAAAAUGGGCCUCAACAGGUACAGAAAGAUAGAAAUAAUCCCAUGCGUGCUAUCAGACCACCACGGCCUAAAGCUGGUCUUCAAUAACAAUAAGGGAAGAACACCCAUAUAUACGUGGAAGUUGAACAAUGCUCUACUCAAGGAUAACCUGGUUAAGGAAGAAAUAAAGAAAGAAAUUAAAGACUUUUUAGAAUUUAAUGAAAAUGAAGGUACAAUAUACCCAAACUUAUGGGACACAAUGAAAGCUGUGCUAAGAGGAAAACUCAUAGCUCUGAGUGCCUGCAGAAAGAAACAGGAGCGAGCAUAUGUCACUAGCUUGCCAGCACACCUAAAAGCUCUAGACCAAAAAGAAGCAAAUACACCCAGGAGGAGUAGAAGGCAGGAAAUAAUCGAACUCAGAGUUGAAAUCAAUCAAGUAGAAACAAAAAGGACCAGACAAUGAAUCAACAGAACCAAAAGUUGGUUCUUUGAGAAAAUCAACAAGAUAGAUAAACCCUUAGCCAGACUAACGAGAGGACCCAGAGAGUGUGUCCAAAUUCACAAAAUCAGAAAUGAAAAGGGAGACAUAACUACAGAUUCAGAAGAAAUUCAAAAAAUCAUCAGAUCUUACUACAAAAGCCUAUAUUCAACAAAACUUGAAAAUCUGCAGGAAAUGGACAAUUUCCUAGACAGAUACCAGGUACCGAAGUUAAAUCAGGAACAGAUAAACCAGUUAAACAACCCCAUAACUCCUAAGGAAAUAGAAACAGUCAUUAAAGGUCUCCCAACCAAAAAGAGCCCAGGUCCAGGCAGGUUUAAUGCAGAAUUCUAUCAGACCUUCAUAGAAGACCUCAUACCAAUACUAUCCAAACUAUUCUACAAAAUUGAAACUGAUGGAGCACUACCGAAUUCCUUCAAUGAAGCCACAAUUACUCUUCUACCUAAACCACACAAAGACCCAACAAAGAAAGUGAACUUCAGACUAAUUUCCCUUAUGAAUAUCGAUGCAGAAAUACUUAAUAAAAUUCUGGCAAACCUAAUCCAAGAGCAUAUCAAAACAAUCAUCCACCAUGAUCAAGUAGGCUUCAUCCCAGGCAUGCAGGGAUUCAUCAGUUGAAAACCAUCAACGUGAUCCAUUAUAUAAACAAACUGAAAGAACAAAACCAUAUGAUCAUUUCAUUAGAUGCUGAGAAAGCAUUUGACAAUGUGAGCACCCCUUCAUGAUAAAAGUCCUGGAAAGAGUAGGAAUUCAAGGCCCAUACCUAAACAUAGUAAAAGCCAUAUACAGCAAACAAGUAGCUAACAUUAAACUAAAUGGAGAGAAACUUGACGCAACCCCACUAAAAUCAGGGACUAGACAAGGCUGCCCACUCUCUCCCUACUUAUUCAAUAUAGUUCUUGAAGUUCUAGCCAGAGCAAUCAGAUCACAAAAGGAGGUCAAGGGGAUACAGAUCGGAAAAGAGGAAGUCAAAAUAUCAGUAUUUGCAGAUGAUAUGAUAUUAUAUUUAAGUGAUCCCAAAAGUUCCACCAGAGAACUACUACAGCUGAUAAACAACUUCAGCAAAGUGGCUGGGUAUAAAAUUAACUCAAAUAAAUCAGUAGCCUCCCUCUACACUAAAGAGAAACAAGCCGAGAAAUAAAUUAGGGAAACGACACCCUUCAUAAUAGACCCAAAUAAUAUAAAGUACCUCAGUGUGACUGUAACCAUGCAAGUAAAAGAUCUGUACAAUAAGAAUUUCAAGACUCUGAAGAAAGAAAUUGAAGAAGACCUCAGAAGAUGGAAAGAUCUCCCAUGCUCAUGGAUUGGCAGGACUAAUAUAGUAAAAAUGGCCAUUUUACCAAAAGCGAUCUACAGAUUCAAUGCAAUCCUCAUCAAAAUACCAAUCCAUUUCUUCAAAGAGUUAGACAGAACAAUUUGCAAAUUCAUCUGGAAUAACAAAAAACCCAGGAUAGCUAAAACUAUCCUCAACAAUAAAAGGACUUCAGGGGGAAUCACUAUCCCUGAACUCAAGCAGUAUUACAGAGUAAUAGUGAUAAAAUCUGCAUGGUAUUGGUACAGAGAUAGACAUAUAAACCAAUGGAACAGAAUUGAAGACCCAGAAAUGAACCCACACAGCUAUGGGCACUUGAUUUUUGACGAAGAAGCCAAAACCAUCAAAUGGAAAAAAGAUAGCAUUUUCAGCCAAUGGUGCUGGAUCAACUGGAGGUCAACAUGUAGAAGAAUGCAGAUCGAUUCAUGCUCAUCACCCUGUACAAAGCUUAAGUCCAAGUGGAUCAAGGACCUCCACAUCAAACCAGAUACACUCAAACUAAUAGAAGAAAAACUAGGGCAGCAUCUUGAACACAUGGGCACUGGAAUAAAUAUCCUGAACAAAACACCAAUGCCUUAUGGUCUAAGAUCAAGAAUCGACAAAUGGGAUCUCAUAAAACUGCGAAGCUUCUGUAAGGCAAAGGACACUGUGGUUAGGACAAAAUGGCAACCAACAGAUUGGGAAAAGAUCUUUACCAAUCCUACUACAGAUAGAUGCCUUAUAACCAAAAUACACAAAGAACUCAAGAAGUUAGCCCACAGGGAGACAAAUAACCCUAUUAAAAAUGGGGUUCAGAGCUAAACAAAGAAUUCACAGGUGAGGAAUGCCCAAUGACUGAGAAACACCUAAAGAAAUGUUCAACAUCUUUACUCAUAAGGGAAAUGCAAAUCAAAACAACCCUGAGAUUUCACCUCACACCUGUGAGAAUGACGAGAAUCAAAAACUCAGGUGACAGCAAAUGCUGGCGAGGAUGUGGAGAAAGAGUAACACUCCUACAUUGUUUGUGGGAUUGCAGACUGGUACAACCAUUCUGGAAAUCAUUCUGGAGGUUCCUCAGAGAAUUGGACAUUGAACUGCCUGAGGAUCCAUCUAUACCUCUCUUGGGCAUAUACCCAAGAGAUGCUCCAACAUAUAUAAAAGACACGUUCUCCAGUAUUUUCAUGGCAGCCUUAUUUAUAAUAGCCAGAAGCUAGAAAGAACCCAGAUGCCCUUCAACAGAGGAAUGGAUACAGAAAAUGUGGUACAUCUACACAAUGGUAUAUUACUCAGCUAUCAAAAACAAUGACUUUAUGAAAUUUAUAAGCAAAUGGUUGGAACUGGAAAAUAUCAUCCUGAGUGAGGUAACCCAAUCACAGAAAAACACACAUGGCAUGCACUCAUUGAUAAGUGGCUAUUAGCCCAAAUGCUUGAAUUACCCUAGAUGCCUAGAAUACAUAAAACUCAAGAUGGAUGAUUAAAAUGUGAAUGCUUCACUCCUUCUUUAAAAGGGGAACAAGAAUACCCUUGGCAGGGAAUAGAGAGGCAAAGAUUAAAUCAGAGACAGAAGGAACACCCAUUCAGAGCCUGCCCCACAUGUGGCCCGUACAUAUACAGCCACCCAAUUAGACAAGAUGGAUGAAGCAAAGAGUUGCAGGCAGACAGGAGCCGGAUGUAG
rnacentral:lncRNA from 1 species